GACGAACGCUGGCGGCGUGCUUAACACAUGCAGGUCGAACGGAAAGGCCUGCUUUCCCUUGUGGAUUGCGGGUACUCGAGUGGCGAACGGGUGAGUAACACGUGAGUGAUCUGCCCCCAACUUGGGUAUAAGCCUGGGAAACUGGGUCUAAUUCCCGAUAGGACUGCAGGGUGGUGCCUGUGGUGGAAAACGAUUUUCUAGUGGUUGGGGAUGAGCUCGCGGCCUAUCAGCUUGUUGGUGGGGUAAUGGCCUACCAAGGCGGCGACGGGUAGCCGGCCUGAGAGGGUGGACGGCCACAUUGGGACUGAGAUACGGCCCAGACUCCUACGGGAGGCAGCAGUGGGGAAUAGUGCACAAUGGGCGGAAGCCUGAUGCAGCGACGCCGCGUGGGGGAUGACGGCCUUCGGGUGGUAAACUCCUUUCGACCGCGAGGAAGCCACCUGGUUGGAAGGGUGGUGACGGUAGUGGUAGAAGAAGCACCGGCUAACUACGUG
rnacentral:rRNA from 1 species